UACGAAGGGGGCGAGCGUUGUUCGGAUUUACUGGGCGUAAAGGGCGCGUAGGCGGCCACCGCAAGUCGGUUGUGAAAUCUCCGGGCUUAACCCGGAAAGGUCAAUCGAUACUGCGGGGCUAGAGUGCAGAAGGGGCAACCGGAAUUCUUGGUGUAGCGGUGAAAUGCGUAGAUAUCAAGAGGAACACCGGAGGUGAAGACGGGUUGCUGGGCUGACACUGACGCUGAGGCGCGAAAGCUAGGGUAGCAAACGGG
rnacentral:rRNA from 1 species